UGCUGCUUCCCACCUGUCUUUGGACUAAAAGGGACCAGGAAAUAAGGAAGAACUGAAGGCAAGAACACAAAGUAGAAGGAAUGCUGAAGAGAUCAAGUGACUGGGUUGAAAGACUGUUGCCUUGCCCAGAGCCACAUCAUUAAGCAAAGGCACUGCCAAGGUAACUGUGUGACCCUGGACUUCAGAUCUAACCUCCGGAUGACAU